UCAGGGAGACCAAAUUCAAGUCAAAAGAAAUAGUCAAAUGCUUUUUGCUUUUAACUAGUAACUUUUAACUUUUAACUUGAAUUCAUCCCGAGGUCGGUCGCAGGAAAAAAGUAGGCUUUCUAACUAUAAGCAGGUUCGAAUUUGGGGCUAUUAGCUCAGGUGGUUAGAGCGCACCCCUGAUAAGGGUGAGGUCCCUGGUUCGAGUCCAGGAUGGCCCACAUGAAAAAAAUCGGGUGAAUGUAACUGCUGCAAGUAGAAAAAUGGGUCAAAUUCAGCACAGAGACGACAAGCGUCUCUCUGCUGGAUUAAAUCCAGCCAGAACCAUUGAAAACUGCAUAGUGACGCGAGAAUUUGCAGGCAGACACAGAGAGUAGUGUUUGUCAACAAGAAAUACCAAUGU
rnacentral:tRNA from 1 species